UAUGGAAUUCAGGGAUCUGAGAAAAAAAAAUUGGAAAACUCCUCUGGAGUCUGGGGCAGUUACACAAUCAACCUCAUGGUGAGAUUAACCAACUUUGAUAAGCCUAAAUCCCCCAGUUUCAUUACAACACCAAAAUCCUUGAAUGAUGACGCAUCAGUCAUGGUUUCCAUUUCCACACAUUAAGAAAGGGGUUAAGGAUCUCGCCCUCCAGUAAGAAAAUUUUCUUUAACAAUCACAAGAACUUCACUGUGAAUUAUGACGACCAGCAAGAAUAGCAUCUGCAGCAGUAUCCAAGUCAUGGGGAAAGAAAACCCUACAGGUGUUAUGAUAAAUGGUCUUGCUCAUUUGAUCUAUGUCACUGACACCUUUACAGCCAGCCACAACCUCAAGAACUUGCCGAACCAAACAAGGCUCAUUCCGGCCUUUGACAAUGCAGUUCUGAUCAUACUUCUCUUUCUUCUUAGAGGGACACAAAGAUUUUACGAAAUUAAUCCCUGCAUGAGUAUUUUUGAUUUCACAAUAUGGAGAAUCUGUCUCAAUCAUCAUUCUCUCAACAGGAAUACCCUUCACGACAUCAAGGUUCUCAAUUGUCUUCAAUGAGCAACCAUUUAGACCUAUGUACAUAUUAUUGAAUGAGAGAAUUUUAUCACAAUCUUCUGCACUGCCAGUAAACGAAUGAGUGACCCCAGCACUGAAUUUAUCCCUGUUGCGCUCCACAAUCUCACAGAAAUCAUCAGCAGCUGCACGCAUAUGUAGAAACAUAGGCAGCUUUGUGGCGUGUGCUAAUUCAAACUGCUUCUCAAAAUACUUUUUCUGAAUCUCUGCUGGACAAAAGUGAAGCCUAUCAUAAUCCAAUCCACACUCACCAAUGGCCACCACCUUCCCUUUCUGAAUUCCCUCUUGGGCCAAUGACAGAAGAGCCUGAAAAUGCUGUUCUGGAUCUGCACUUUCUUCAAACUCCUUGCACCUUGUAGGGUGGAC
rnacentral:misc_RNA from 1 species